UUAAGCGACUAAGCGUACACGGUGGAUGCCCUGGCAGUCAGAGGCGAUGAAGGACGUGCUAAUCUGCGAUAAGCGUCGGUGAGGUGAUAUGAACCGUUAUAACCGGCGAUUUCCGAAUGGGGAAACCCAGUGUGUUUCGACACACUAUCAUUAACUGAAUCCAUAGGUUAAUGAGGCGAACCGGGGGAACUGAAACAUCUAAGUACCCCGAGGAAAAGAAAUCAACCGAGAUUCCCCCAGUAGCGGCGAGCGAACGGGGAGGAGCCCAGAGCCUGAAUCAGUGUGUGUGUUAGUGGAAGCGUCUGGAAAGGCGUGCGAUACAGGGUGACAGCCCCGUACACAAAAAUGCACAUAUUGUGAGCUCGAUGAGUAGGGCGGGACACGUGGUAUCCUGUCUGAAUAUGGGGGGACCAUCCUCCAAGGCUAAAUACUCCUGACUGACCGAUAGUGAACCAGUACCGUGAGGGAAAGGCGAAAAGAACCCCGGCGAGGGGAGUGAAAAAGAACCUGAAACCGUGUACGUACAAGCAGUGGGAGCCUCUUAAUGGGGUGACUGCGUACCUUUUGUAUAAUGGGUCAGCGACUUAUAUUCUGUAGCAAGGUUAACCGAAUAGGGGAGCCGAAGGGAAACCGAGUCUUAACUGGGCGUUAAGUUGCAGGGUAUAGACCCGAAACCCGGUGAUCUAGCCAUGGGCAGGUUGAAGGUUGGGUAACACUAACUGGAGGACCGAACCGACUAAUGUUGAAAAAUUAGCGGAUGACUUGUGGCUGGGGGUGAAAGGCCAAUCAAACCGGGAGAUAGCUGGUUCUCCCCGAAAGCUAUUUAGGUAGCGCCUCGUGAAUUCAUCUCCGGGGGUAGAGCACUGUUUCGGCAAGGGGGUCAUCCCGACUUACCAACCCGAUGCAAACUGCGAAUACCGGAGAAUGUUAUCACGGGAGACACACGGCGGGUGCUAACGUCCGUCGUGAAGAGGGAAACAACCCAGACCGCCAGCUAAGGUCCCAAAGUCAUGGUUAAGUGGGAAACGAUGUGGGAAGGCCCAGACAGCCAGGAUGUUGGCUUAGAAGCAGCCAUCAUUUAAAGAAAGCGUAAUAGCUCACUGGUCGAGUCGGCCUGCGCGGAAGAUGUAACGGGGCUAAACCAUGCACCGAAGCUGCGGCAGCGACACUAUGUGUUGUUGGGUAGGGGAGCGUUCUGUAAGCCUGUGAAGGUGGCCUGUGAGGGUUGCUGGAGGUAUCAGAAGUGCGAAUGCUGACAUAAGUAACGAUAAAGCGGGUGAAAAGCCCGCUCGCCGGAAGACCAAGGGUUCCUGUCCAACGUUAAUCGGGGCAGGGUGAGUCGACCCCUAAGGCGAGGCCGAAAGGCGUAGUCGAUGGGAAACAGGUUAAUAUUCCUGUACUUGGUGUUACUGCGAAGGGGGGACGGAGAAGGCUAUGUUGGCCGGGCGACGGUUGUCCCGGUUUAAGCGUGUAGGCUGGUUUUCCAGGCAAAUCCGGAAAACCAAGGCUGAGGCGUGAUGACGAGGCACUACGGUGCUGAAGCGACAAAUGCCCUGCUUCCAGGAAAAGCCUCUAAGCAUCAGGUAACAUCAAAUCGUACCCCAAACCGACACAGGUGGUCAGGUAGAGAAUACCAAGGCGCUUGAGAGAACUCGGGUGAAGGAACUAGGCAAAAUGGUGCCGUAACUUCGGGAGAAGGCACGCUGAUAUGUAGGUGAAGCGACUUGCUCGUGGAGCUGAAAUCAGUCGAAGAUACCAGCUGGCUGCAACUGUUUAUUAAAAACACAGCACUGUGCAAACACGAAAGUGGACGUAUACGGUGUGACGCCUGCCCGGUGCCGGAAGGUUAAUUGAUGGGGUUAGCGGCAACGCGAAGCUCUUGAUCGAAGCCCCGGUAAACGGCGGCCGUAACUAUAACGGUCCUAAGGUAGCGAAAUUCCUUGUCGGGU
rnacentral:rRNA from 2 species